AAACCAACAGGGAUUGCCUCAGUAGCGGCGAGUGAAGCGGCAAUAGCUCAAAUUUGAAAUCUGGCACUUUCAGUGUCCGAGUUGUAAUUUGAAGAAGGUAUCUUUGGGUCUAGCUCUUGUCUAUGUUUCUUGGAACAGAACGUCACAGAGGGUGAGAAUCCCGUGCGAUGAGAUGUCUAGAUCUAUGUAAAGUUCCUUCGAAGAGUCGAGUUGUUUGGGAAUGCAGCUCUAAGUGGGUGGUAAAUUCCAUCUAAAGCUAAAUAUUGGCGAGAGACCGAUAGCGAACAAGUACAGUGAUGGAAAGAUGAAAAGCACUUUGAAAAGAGGGUGAAAAAGUACGUGAAAUUGUUGAAAGGGAAGGGCUUGAGAUCAGACUUGGUAUUUUGUAUGCUCUCUCUCUUUUUUUAGGGAGGGUGCCUCUAUAGCUUACCGGGCCAGCAUCAGUUUGAACGGUAGGACAAUUGCAGAGAAAUGUGGCUCGGCCUCGGUUGAGUGUUAUAGUCUCUGUCGAUACUGCCAGUUUAGACUGAGGACUGCGGCUUCGGCCUAGGAUGUUGGCAUAAUGAUCUUAAGUCGC
rnacentral:rRNA from 1 species